UAGGUCAGUGCAAAAGUCAUUGCAGUUUUUGCAAUUUUAAUGGUAAAAACUGCAAUUACUUUUGCACCAACCUAAUA
ensembl:miRNA